GAUGAACGCUGGCGGCGUGCCUAAUACAUGCAAGUCGAGCGAACGGACGAGAAGCUUGCUUUUCUGAUGUUAGCGGCGGACGGGUGAGUAACACGUGGAUAACCUACCUAUAAGACUGGGAUCACUUCGGGAAACCGGAGCUAAUACCGGAUAAUAUUUUGAACCGCAUGGUUCAAAAGUGAAAGACGGUCUUGCUGUCACUUCUAGAUGGAUCCGCGCUGCAUUAGCUAGUUGGUAAGGUAACGGCUUACCAAGGCAACGAUGCAUAGCCGACCUGAGAGGGUGAUCGGCCACCCGGGAAGGGAGACACGGUCCAGACGCCUACGGGAGGCAGCAGUAGGGAAUCGUCCGCAAUGGGCGAAAGCCUGACGGAGCAACGCCGCGUGAGUGAUGAAGGUCUUCGGAUCGUAAAACUCUGUUAUGAGGGAAGAACAGAUGUGUAAGUAACUGUGCACAGCGUGACGGUACCUAAUCAGAAAGCCACGGCUAACUACGUG
rnacentral:rRNA from 1 species